AGCCCAGAUCCGCCACCAAGGAGGAACUGCAGCUCGUUCACACUCCUGAUUACGUCGACCUGAUCAAAUCAAUGGAAAACAUGAACACCGUGGAGCUGAGGGCCCAAUCUGAUGGCUUUGACCUGGUCUACUUCCAUCCGCAAACGUACGAGGCGUGCUGUACAGCUGUGGGCUGCGUGCUACAGUUGGUCGACGAGCUGAUGAAGGGCCAAAUCAGGAACGGCUUGGCCGUUGUCAGG